rnacentral:misc_RNA from 1 species
AAAAAAAAAAAUAAUUUGUGUAAUUCAAAACUAAAAUCAAUCCAAAAAUCAAACCAAAAUGAUUCUAACCCUAAAAAACCCUCAAACCAAAAUGAGGAUUGAACUCAGACUAAACCUGAACCAAAAUUGUAAAACUGUCAUCCUACUCCCACAAACCUGAAGCGGAAAUGGACUGGAACUAGUUUGGCAUGUUGCCUGGGAACCAGAUUGAACUAAAAAUAAAAACCGAAAAAAGAAUCAGACUGAAUCGAAAUUGGAUCAGAACUGAAAUCAAAACUGAAACUAGAACCACGCUGAAUUGAAGCCAAACUGGAUGGGAAUUAAAACCAAGUUGAACCAAAAAUGAAUCAGGUGGGAAUCGUUUAGGGUUAAUCAAAACCAGGUUGAAUCAGAAUUGAAAUUGGAACUAAGUGGGAAUUGAACUGAAAACGAGCCAAAAUCGAAAAUCAAAACCAAAAACAGGUUGAACCAAAACCAAAUUGAGUGAAGACUAAAACCACCGAAUCCAAAAUUGCGUUGAAUUGGAACUGGGCAAAAAUCGAGUUAAAUCCAAACUUAUGGAACAGUCUACACAUUUUAAAUUUGAUCAAAUGACACCUAAGGCUUAAACCUAAAUCCAUAUAUCAAAACAGAACCUAACAUAAUUUGAAAAGUUCAUUAAGCACUGAAUUAUAUAUGCCAGAAUCUCAGAGCUAAAACCUUAACAUAAUCAUCUUUAUUUAAAAAAAAAUUAAAUCAGUUUCGCAUCUAAAAACCUGACUUUUUUUAUUCUGAAUCACGACAAAAACAUCUCUCAAAAUCAAACCAAAUAGCAUUCCACAACAACAUAGUGGGUCUAACAACCCCAAGUCAUGUGCCAAAUGCAGUAGGAGGGAAGGUCACAUAAACGCAAUCAACAACCCUUGAUUAACAAAAUUAAUUUACACAAAGUCCAUCGAUAAACAUCUAUAGAGAUUGCAACUUCCGAAAUAGUUAAAAAAAAAUGAACGGGCAAAUGUACCUUAGGAAGA